CCUGAUCAUGGAAGGAGUCUGAGCCCAUUUUCGAACAAACUGAAUUAUUAGCAUUACGUGAAACUUAGCCAAUGACAAUGAAACAGAGCUAAUAAAAAAACGUCACACCAUUACACAAGCUUUGUGAUUUGUUGAACCAUGCUCAUCAUUUGAAUUACAAUUCUCAAAAAAACGCAAAUGUCACACGUGAACUCCACAAGACAAAACGCCAGGAGUUCGUGACACAAUGUUCAAAUUCUGAAGGCAGAACUAAGCUAAAAAUUAACCCAUUUAAGCUAAAUCACAUCUUAACAAUUGCCAAAUGCAAACAGAACAUUAAUAAUAUGGAUACUUGCUACCCCAAUCCAGCAAAACUAUGACAUUGAGCCAUCCAUUUAAAAGGUACAUCAAUUGUCUUUAGCAUAUGGCCCAAAAAUCGAAUCCAUUGCACUCAAUCAAACCCAUAUACUAACCUUAAAACAAACAAGUAAUAUCAACAACUACAUUUGACGGCCAAACUAAGGCAGACAUUAUCUAACAUAUGAUGUUCAGAACUCAUAUUUGAAUUACAGAUUAUAGCUUGAAGGGCAGUAAAUGCAAUUCUCUAAAUAAAAUGAAACGGGCAAAUAAGCUAAUAUACGACCAAACUUAUUGAAGAAUAUGACUCAAAGUUCCAGAUCUCCAUUUCUUGAUUCCAAAUCAACUUUACACUUAGAGGGAAUGCAGAAGUGUACCUGAGAUUGAGAGAACAAAGAAAUAAAGUGGGAUCAGUAGUGUUAACAACAAGGAUCAACAACAGCAACAGCAGUAGAGCCCAGCAAAACAGAAAGUGAACCAACAGACCAAUUUUUAAACCAGCAGAUAAGAUACAAUAAUCCAAACACUAAUUUCAGUCACUCGAUGGACCAACAGACCUCAAGACAAACUUGACUUCAACCCAUCUUAAAACCAACUAACCAGAAAAUUGUUUUAGCACCAAGAAAACCUCAAAAAUCACCAAAAGAAAUCAAUGAAAUAGUGUUGUUCUAAAGUUUUUCAGCCCUUUGUCUUUUUCUCUAAGAACUUUAGCUCUUGAAGUCUAUGAAAUAGUAAAAUUUAUGCAGCUUCUGUAUUUUUUUUAGAUUUCCAGCUCUCAAACUCUGCCUUGAAAGGCAAGAAAAGAUGCCUUUAUAGGCAAGGCAAGUAGGGCAGCCUUAAGGAAAUAAUUUCUGCACUUAGGCCCUUCUCAAAUUUCCAUUUUAGCCUAGGUGCCCUUAGUUUAAUUUUCAGAAUUCAAGAUAGCCCCCCACCCCAGUUUCCUAGAAUCUUGCCCAUUUAGUUACUGCAGAUUCCCUUAUCUACAAUUUCUACACUACCCUUUAAAAAUUCUAUUAUAAAAAAAACCCAGACCAAUACAUGGGUCAAAUUUACCCAGUUCCCAGCCCACAGGCCUGCAGAUUACCAUUAAUUCCCCUCUUGGGCUUUUGAUUCUUUCAUAGCCCAAUUUUGGUUAACCACAAAUUCAACAUUUAAAGAAGCUGACCCAGUCUUCCCAAAAGAAAGAAACCCGAAAAAUGCAGCCCAAACCAAGACAAACGUGAAUGAACCAAUUACCCUAGCUACAUAAAAGGAAAAUAACCAGGUUAUGGGCCUAAUUUAAUUAAACUAGGUGAUUGAACAGAAUAACAACCAGAAAUUAAGCCACGCUUAACAAACUACAAAAAUCAGAGAAGCGAAUUUGGGACAAUAAAGCAAACAAGGAAUAAGAGCACAUAACUUAUCCUUUAACCAGAAGAUUUGGUCAAACUUUAGUUGGAGUGACUAGAGAAAGAAAAGAAGAAAAAAAAGAAAAAGAGAUGAGGAGGCACGGAGAUUAAAAUGACACCAAACAUGAACGAAGAAGGAAAGGAGAACUUACCGACCAAAAGCGCAAAACCGGGACUCGACCUUUUGAUUUCGUCCCUAAAUAACGUCCAUCGUUUGUUCUUUGUCAAGAACAAGAGAAAACGUUAUUAUGAGACAAAACCAACCCAAAGAACUUAGAGGAAUGGGGCAAUAUCCAUGCAUGCACAGGUGUGGGAUUUGGCUUCUAGGAUUCGAUUUUCAAAUUCAAGAUUCGAGACGCUCCAGCAGUAUUUGAGGGGAAUGGAGUGGGGAUUUGAGAUGAGGGGAACGAGAUGGUUAUAGGGUGUAAUUUUGGGGCCGAUUGGACGAGUUAGGGUUUUGGUCGUUCUCUUCGAUUCAAGAUUCGAAGAGUUCUAGUAGGAUUCGAGGAAGGGGUUUUGGAGAUUUGGGAAGAGGAGAAGGAGGGAAAUCUAUGGUGUUAAUUUGGAGUCGAUUGGAGUACCGCCGCCGGUGGAGACGAUUUCCGGCAGGCGGUUCACGGCGAAGGUGAUGAGGGUUCAGAGAAGGAGAUGA
rnacentral:lncRNA from 1 species